UUUAUCCUAGUAUGGGUUUAACUUUACGGACAUUAAAUCGCUAUAAAAUGUUAGGUUUAUUAUAACUCUGUAGAGAUAGAAGCCCACGAUGAAGAGUACAUUUUAAAGAUACUUGUGCUUAAAUACUAUGAGUAUCUAAUAUACCCACACCACACGCAACGCAAUGGGUAUAAAAACGACGACCGACUGAGAGACAGCUUCAGUUCACAAAUGAUUAUGAUAAAAAACACAGCCACAAGAACGACAACUCUGGAACAGGGUAACAGACGGACGAGAGAAAGGCAGGAGGAGCAGCCGCUUGAAGGGCAUCGAGGGUAAAGAGGCUUAGACAGGCUCACAUGCUGAUGAACCGGCCCUGAUAGUGAACCCCCAACGAAAAAGGGGCGUGGCACAGUAGGGGCGCUCGCACAAAAGUGCACAGGAAAAUAAUAUGUAUUACAAUAUGAAAUAAUGCAUUGAGUCGAUUUGUUUGCCCCGAAAUAGUGAAACAUUCUGAACAUAUAAACAAUUUCAGUGCACCCAAAUACUUAUGCGAUAACGCCAGAGGCGCAAUGAAAUUUUCGGCUGGUGGAAGAAAUUAAGACAAAUCAAACAGGUUUCUCGCCGGUCCUGCACCCGCCACCCCUGCUCCUUCCUUCGAUCCGGCUCUUCAAACGGCGCACCGCCAAAAAGGUAGAAGGGGAUGGAAAAAAACCCGUGUGAAAAUGAGUGUAAAGGAAAACGACCCUCGGGAAUGUCGGUUAUUACAGAGCGGAAUAUACCCCUUUUUCCGGCAAACCGCAGAUAAAUCAAGGCAAAAACAAAGCUCAGCUGACAGGACGACGAGCCCGCAGAAGAUAACACUAGAAAUGCGUCAUAAUCCAGCAUUUCCCAAAUGCGAAGAAAGGCGAAGAAA